ensembl:lncRNA
GUUCUGAUUCCCUCCACACAGGUGCCUGCUGUAAUGCCCAUCACAUUCUAAAUAUUAGAAUCCUUUAGUAAGACAUGUGCAAAACUUCAAAUAAAUACAUUAAGUGCACAAAAAGUUGUUGAUACUUACUCAGUGUGGGUGUUUCAAUAUUCCCUUCCAUAACAAAUCGCUGGCCACUGGAGUUAGUUUCUGCAAAAAUCCCCCAGCUGGUAAUGUGUUAAAGGAAACUCUUUAAGCUAAAAAGGGUUCUAAUUAGUAGCAAGAAAACAUAAUUAAAAAUCUCACUGGUAAAGAUAAAAAAUGUAGUAAAGAUAUAUAUCCUGUUAUAUCUGAGUCUCACGAUAACCACCAAACAAAAACACAUAGUAGAUACCCAAAAGAUAGUGUGAAAGGAAUCUAAGCAUAACACUUUAUAAAGUCAUCAAACCACAAGGAAAGAAAUCAAGAAGAAGGAAGGAACAGAGAAUUAGCCAGAAAUAGCCAGAAAACAGUUAACAAAACUGCAAUAAGUACAUGUCUAUCAACAAUGACUUUAAAUGUAAAUAAACUAAAUAUUCCAAUCAAAAGACAGAGUGGCUGAAUUGAUUAAAAGACAAGACCCACAUAUAUGCUUACAAGAGACUCACUUCAGAUAAAAGGACACAAAGACUGAAUGUGAAGGAGUAGAAAAGGUAUUCAACAAGAUGAUGUAAUAUUUGUAAAUAUUUAUCCAUCCAACCUAGGAGUACCUAAACCCAUAAGCAAAUAUUAAUAGACCUAAAGGGAAUAACUGACAUCAAUAAAUAGUAGUAGUGGACCUUAACAUAUUCUUAUUCAACAUUCCCUGGUGGAUCAGUAUAAAGACUCUACCUGCCAAUGCAAGAGAUGCAUAGGAGACAGGUUCGAUCCCUGGGUUGGGUUGAUCCCUGGGGUUGGAACAAUCUGCUGGAGAAGGAAAUGGCAACCCACUCCAGUAUUCUUGCCUGGGGAAGCCCAUGGACAGAGGAGCCUGGCAGGCUGCAGUUCAUGAGGUCACAAAGAGUCCGACACAACUUAGCAACUAAACACCAGCAGCAGUACUGAAAUUGCUAGCAAUUUGGCAGGAAAAAUAAGAAGGCAUCCAAACUGGAAAGGAA